rnacentral:rRNA from 1 species
CACUUGGGGAUAACCUUGCGAAAGUAAGACUAAUACCCAAUAAUAUCUCACGAAGGCAUCCGAAUGAGAUUAAAGAUUUAUCGGUAAUGGAUGGGGAUGCGUCUGAUUAGCUUGUUGGCGGGGUAACGGCCCACCAAGGCGACGAUCAGUAGGGGUUCUGAGAGGAAGGUCCCCCACAUUGGAACUGAGACACGGUCCAAACUCCUACGGGAGGCAGCAGUGAGGAAUAUUGGUCAAUGGACGAGAGUCUGAACCAGCCAAGUAGCGUGCAGGAUGACGGCCCUAUGGGUUGUAAACUGCUUUUAUAAGGGAAUAAAGUGAGUCUCGUGAGACUUUUUGCAUGUACCUUAUGAAUAAGGACCGGCUAAUUCCGUGCCAGCAGCCGCGGUAAUACGGAAGGUCCGGGCGUUAUCCGGAUUUAUUGGGUUUAAAGGGAGCGUAGGCCGGAGAUUAAGCGUGUUGUGAAAUGUAGACGCUCAACGUCUGCACUGCAGCGCGAACUGGUUUCCUUGAGUACGCACAAAGUGGGCGGAAUUCGUGGUGUAGCGGUGAAAUGCUUAGAUAUCACGAAGAACUCCGAUUGCGAAGGCAGCUCACUGGAGCGCAACUGACGCUGAAGCUCGAAAGUGCGGGUAUCGAACAGGAUUAGAUACCCUGGUAGUCCGCACGGUAAACGAUGGAUGCCCGCUGUUGGUCUGAAUAGGUCAGCGGCCAAGCGAAAGCAUUAAGCAUCCCACCUGGGGAGUAC